AUUGAACGCUGGCGGCGGGCCUAACACAUGCAAGUCGAACGAGUGGCGGACGGGUGAGUAAGGUCUGGGAAAGUGCCCGAUGGAGGGGGAUAACUGCUGGAAACGGUAGCUAAUACCGCAUACGGUCGGAUCUGCCCAGAGGGGAUUAGCGAGUCGCGGGGGGAACGGCUCACCAAGGCGACGAUCCCUAGCUGGUCUGAGAGGAUGACCAGCCACACUGGAACUGAGACACGGUCCAGACUCCUACGGGAGGCAGCAGUGGGGAAUAUUCCACAAUGGGCGCAAGCCUGACGCAGCAAUGCCGCGUGAAUGAAGAAGGCUUUCGGGUCGUAAAGUACUGUCAGUGAGGAGGCGUUAUCCGCAGAAGAAGCACCGGCUAACUCCGUGCCAGCAGCCGCGGUAAUAC
rnacentral:rRNA from 1 species